CAGCCGCCGCGGGAAUACGAAGGGGGCUAGCGUUGUUCGGAUUUACUGGGCGUAAAGGGCGCGUAGGCGGACUGAUAAGUCAGGGGUGAAAUCCCAAGGCUCAACCUUGGAACUGCCUUUGAUACUGUUUGUCUUGAGUUCGAGAGAGGUGAGUGGAACUGCGAGUGUAGAGGUGAAAUUCGUAGAUAUUCGCAAGAACACCAGUGGCGAAGGCGGCUUACUGGACGACAACUGACGUUGAGGCUCGAAGGCGUGGGUAGCAAACAGGAUUAGAUACCCGGGUAGUCCCUGUCUCUUAUAC
rnacentral:rRNA from 1 species